AUUUCUAAUUUAUAUAGUUUAAGAAAACAUUAUAUUUUCAAUAUAAAAAUAAAUAUUUAUUAUUUUAUAA
rnacentral:tRNA from 1 species